ACGUAGGGUGCGAGCGUUAAUCGGAAUUACUGGGCGUAAAGCGUGCGCAGGCGGUUGUGCAAGACAGGUGUGAAAUCCCCGGGCUUAACCUGGGAACUGCGCUUGUGACUGCACAACUAGAGUACGGCAGAGGGGGGUGGAAUUCCUGGUGUAGCAGUGAAAUGCGUAGAGAUCAGGAGGAACAUCGAUGGCGAAGGCAGCCCCCUGGGCCAGUACUGACGCUCAUGCACGAAAGCGUGGGGAGCAAACAGGA
rnacentral:rRNA from 1 species